CACCCGUUCCCAUACCGAACACGGAAGUUAAGCUCUUCAGCGCCGAUGGUAGUUGGGGGUUUCCCCCUGUGAGAGUAGGACGUCGCUGGGC
rnacentral:rRNA from 1 species